AUGAGCUCCUCCCCCUCCCCUGCCCCCCACCUGCCAUGCCGGCCUCUCUGUUCUACUGAGAUGGUAGCAACCAGACUUGCCCUGGCUGCUGCCACUGCCUCAUCCCCCUCCAGAAAGCACCAGGCAAUUCCUCUAAAGCUCCCUGGCCCUCCCAGACCCCCGAGGAGGCCAGCCUGGGGUGAGAGCUCAGACCUGCAGCCUGGGACAUGGCCUCACAUCCUCUGCCUUGGAUGCAAGUCGUCAUCAUCAUCAUCUUCAUCAUUUCCAUUACGAGAAGUUACCAAGCUCUUCGUGUGCUGAUCCACAUGAAACUGCAGGUAUUUGAUGAUUUGAGAUUGAUCUGAGAUUCCACAGAGAUCGCAGUUCAACCUGAUCAUACGGUUCGGUUUAGUACUGUGGGUGAAGCUCUUUGCAAAGGAGAGGCAGACAGAGCUGAGAAAUGUGGACUCUGCUGUCAUGCUGUCUAGUGUGGACCUCAGCUCCCCUACCUGCGAGCUGAGCAAUCUUGGGCAAGUUAUGGAACCUCUUUAUGCCUCACUUUCCUCUACAAAAUGGGGAUAAUAUGAAACCUACCCCAUGUGGCUAUGGAGAUACAAGGAGGUGAUUUAUUUAACACGAGUUCAUAUGGUAUUUACUGAAUAGCGGGCCCUGCAAAUGCUUGCCCAGGGCUUUCAGCAGCCCUGUCACAUAGUAAGUGUCCCGUCAAUGUUAGCUUCUGAUGUGCUGGCUCUAUCAAUAUCACUCAGCUGCCCAGAGAGGCAGUAACCAUUGAUAUCCCCAUUUCACAGGUAGGAAAAGCUGAGGCACAGAGUUCAUGGGUUGCUGAAGCUCCUAUUAAAGGGCAGGGUCAGAAUUAGAUCCAGACAGGUUGACCUCUGAAUCUUUCAUCAGUGUGCUUCCUGAACACCCCUGUCCCCAGCUCCCUCUCCUUGGGAGGAAAUGUCUGCUUUGGUUCUUCUCAGAGGUGGCAACUCUAGACUCUGAGUCAGGAAGAGCCUCAGAGCUUGCAUUGAGGCAUUUCCCAUCUGGAUACUGUGUUUGUUCUUGGAAGAGCCUCCUGGAAGCCAGAUCCACACCAUCAAAGAUCCCCAUAUUGGAGGCAACUGCCAGAGACCCAGAGUAAAGGCUCAGCCCCGCCAUUUACUCACUGGGAUACUCUGGGUAAGCCACCUGCCUGAGUCUCCUCACCCUGCAGGGUCGUGGUGAGACAUUAAAAAGACAAGGCAAGAGGAGGCUUUGCAGCCUGCACAGUAAAGAACAGAUGUGAGGUGGGAUUAACGAUCCCUGCUGACAGGCCAAUGGGGAGCCUUCCCUGCAGUCUUGCUGCCGCCCUCUGCUGCAGGAGCGCUAAGGAAAGUUCUUUCCUGAGCAGUGACGGCCAUGGCAAGCAACUGGCUUCCGGCCAAGUCUACCUUCCAUUUGGGCCUUCCCAGGCUCCCAGUCUACCUGGC
rnacentral:lncRNA from 1 species